GCUCCUGUUGCAGGAAAAUCUGGCAUUUCAAGAUUCAUCCCAUGAUGAAACUCGUCCCAGUAACGGAGCAGACCCUCAUCAAUUUCAGCUCUGGAAUUUCAUUAGGCGUGGAAUUUUUGAAGAUAUUCAAGGGAUGGAGUGGAAGCAGAGACCAAAGUUUUGCUAAUACACCUGCAAGUUUCAUGCUUCACAUUUUCCCCUGUUGCUCAUGUGCUGUGCUGCCCUGUGGGCCUUUUCCCACAGCUCUGGUGGUACAUUGUGUUGAUUGUGUGCACUCUGACCCCUGUGCUGGCGGAAGACUCGGCAAAAUCAUUUGGGAGUGGAGGUUCAGACUGGAUAUUAGGAAAAAUUUCUAUACUGAAAGACUGAUUAAGCAUUGGAACAAGCUCUCCAGGAAAAUGGAGGAGUCACCAUUCCUACAAGUGUCCAAAAAAUGAAUAGAGAUGGCAAUUUGUGGUAUGCUUUAGUGGGAAAAGUGGUAUUUCAUCAAAGAUUGAACUUAAUGGUCUUGGAGAUCCUUUCCAACCUUAAUGAGUCUAUGAUUCACUGACCCAGAGGAUGUCAUAACCCAAAUGUCAUCGUCAUCCUCUGUAGAAUCUUGCCCUGUACUCUCAAAUAGGCAUGAGGAGUUUGGGAGGAAGGAGUGACACUCAAUUUAUAAUGGUAAAGCAUGAUCAGAAUGCAGCAGGACUCAGUAACAGAAGUAAAGCUGGGCUGGAGAAGCAAGGGGAUGUCAGUAACCUGAUGGAAACGAGGAGUCUCUUGCCUGAUGACAAGAACCCCUCCAGCUGCUAACUUUGAUGAAGCUGCCCUUGGUACAGCACUCACCUGGCUGCAGCUGUUUUUAAUUUCUUCCACUCUCUGCUGAGAUUUCUAUCACCCACCCACACAUCCUGUAUUUAACCAGCACACAGAGCUUUCUUGAGAUCAAGAUUUGUAUUCUUCUGGGGACACACCAUGUAAAUACCACCCAGCCAAAGUCUGACUCUACUGAAGUGGUGCAUUUGUUGGAAGAUGGUGCAGUCGGCAGCUGAGCACAGAUGUCUGGAUUGGCAACAAUUCUGAACCCAAUUAACCCAGUUAAUGGCACUGCAGCCCUUCAUGAAGUGAGGGAUUAUUGCAAGCAGACCUGACACAGCCACUCACCCAUCGUGUCCCUGGGAAAGUAAGUGGAGGUGGCUAAAUGUGGCUGAAGAGAUGUGGAGAUUCCUGUCUGAAAGCUGUUCUCUCUCCUUUGCUGUGGGAUAUUUAUAACAAAGUUUUACCCAGAAAUUACUAAACAGCAAUGAUCCACUGUCCUGGUUUAGAACAAAUUUGUGAGGAAACUUCCAAAGGGGUCCCUCUAGAAACCAGAUUUAAGAGGCCCCUUCCCUGUGAGCAGAGGUGAGCUGAUCACUACAAGAGCUGAAAUCACAUCUAAAAGAGCUGAUCCCUUGAAGCCUCAGGCUGAGCUCACAUGGGUUACCCCUGGCUGGAAAUGCCUGUGACCCCUGGAUGGCUCCUCCCUUGUGGGACCCCAUCUGGGCAGUCUGCAGCAGCCAGGGGUUGGACAGACUCCCAGAAGCAGCCAACAGCAGUCCAUGAGAAGGAAUUUGGGGGAGCAAGUGCUGUUUCUGCAAACAAGCUGCAUGCUUUCUCCCCCCUGCUUCACGCUCAGAACCAGUAUUAAAGGUGCAGAACUUAAUAUCCAGCAUAAACAGAACACACUGUUGGGGAUACAAAGCAUCAUGUAGUCACCCUAGAGCACGCAUCCAUCAGCCUCAUGAGCCCUGGAUUGAGGGGCCUGGCUUGUCCCAUCCUGUUUUGUUACAGUGAUGUGUAGUGUGAGUGUCAGACUGCACACUGACCUAGCGACUGCUACGGUCAGUGUUGAGAAAAGGGGAUUUAAAACAGGGAUUGCUUGAACCUUCAGUUAAUAUGGGGCUCAUGGCUGGAGCCAUGGCUGGAAAGAUCCACAGUGUAUCUGUGUGUACGUGGAGGAUAAUGUUCAGAAAGUACAGGAGUGGUAUUUUUAAAGGCUUUCUGGAAAUUAUCAUCAAGAUGACCAAUUUAGAACAAUUAGAAUGACCAAUUUAGAACAAUUUAGAAAAUGCAGCUGAUUGUAUUCUAUGGCAAGAAAUAGAGAAAUGCUGUAUUUACACACACACAGAGUGCAUUGGCACAGCUAGGAUCAAGAAGCCAGUAACAACUUAAAAAAAAAAAUCGAUGUGAAGGAAUUUAAACCAUUUCAAUUACCAUUCAUGUUCCUUUGGUUUCAAACCUAUUAGCAGACACCGGAGAAUUAACAAUUAGGUGUUCAGAGACUAAAGGAUAAGUCAAUUUAAGAAUAAAGAGGUUGAUUUUCCAGGAAAAGAUAU